rnacentral:rRNA from 1 species
UGACAGAGGUUUCGGCCAAUGGAUUAGGUUACUUAGUGGCGGACUGGUGAGUAACGCGUGAGGAACCUGCCUUUCAGAGGGGGACAACAGCUGGAAACGGCUGCUAAUACCGCAUGACGCAUGACCGGGGCAUCCCGGACAUGCCAAAGAUUUUAUCGCUGAAAGAUGGCCUCGCGUCUGAUUAGCUGGUUGGCGGGGUAACGGCCCACCAAGGGCGACGCAUCAGUAGCCGGACUGAGAGGUUGACCCGGCCACAUUGGGACUGAGAUACGGCCCAGACUCCUACGGGAGGCAGCAGUGGGGAAUAUUGGGCAAUGGACGCAAGUCUGACCCAGCAACGCCGCGUGAAGGAAGAAGGCUUUCGGGUUGUAAACUUCUUUUGUCAGGGAACAGUAGAAGAGGGUACCUGACGAAUAAGCCACGGCUAACUACGUGCCAGCAGCCGCGGUAAUACGUAGGUGGCAAGCGUUGUCCGGAUUUACUGGGUGUAAAGGGCGUGUAGCCGGAGAGACAAGUCAGAUGUGAAAUCCGCGGGCUCAACCCGCGAACUGCAUUUGAAACUGUUUGCCCUUGAGUAUCGGAGAGGUAACCGGAAUUCCUAGUGUAGCGGUGAUAUGCGUAGAUAUUAGGAAGAACA